UAAAUGGGAGAUGGAGGAGAAGGCUAAGAUUUUUCGGGUCUGUGUCUGGUUUAGGCCUAUUCAGCCCCCGAU
rnacentral:tRNA from 1 species